ACAGAAGGAGCCAGACAUGCAGUGUCUGAGCCACUCGUCUGAGGUCAUGUAAUGGUGAACUCAUUCUCCUUUGUGUUUACUCACUUCUCAAAGAUAUGGCAGAUUGAAGACAAUUUAUCCCAGGGAAGAUACUGUGGUUCCAGCAUUUCCAGCAACUUGGGGACCAAAGGUUAAAAGAAGUACCUGAAAUCUCAAGUGUCUGAACCACCUAUUUUAAGUCUCACAGUGAUUGAGGAAACACCUUACCAAGGGAGCAGUAUCUGAACUGAUGUGAUUACAAGCACCGCUUUAAGAUUUAUGAGGGAGUUCUAUUUGUGAUUGGCAUGCUCAUACAGCUUCUUUGAGAAUCACAAGGAACCUCCUGACAGGUGAGUCUGUGUUUUCACCUCCUUUCUACUCAGGUUCAUGCUCUGGCCUUCAUGAUGUCCUAGAGAGGCUGAACCCUACGAUGGAAUCGAGAUUCUCGCUUGAUUUCUGUCUCCAUGUUGGAUUUGGCCAGUGGCAGUCAACAGAUAGAGAUGAAAGGGUGAGGGGUGAGGAGUAGGGCACACUUCUCUAACCCUCCUCUUUGCAGGGUCUGUCAGUGACUGUGCUGUGAAAUAACUGAGGCUCUCGCCAACGGUCUUUCUUCUGGGAUUAGCCUCUCUGGGCUCCAGCAACACUUGCCCUCCCCUUGUCCCUUUAGGCCCAGGGUUGGUAGCUGUUUCUCUCUGUUUUAGGUAUCUGAGUGCCUCAGCACCUUACCAGCUCUGUUAUCCCUGCCCAUCUUUAUGACAUCUUCAUUAAAUCUGUUUCUGAAAUCCAGUGGCCUGGUAUUAAUUAGUUACGUGGAGAAUUGCUUGCUCACAAUGGCCAUUUAUUGA